UACGAAGGGGGCUAGCGUUGUUCGGAAUCACUGGGCGUAAAGCGCACGUAGGCGGAUGUGUCAGUCAGGGUUGAAAUCCCGGGGCUCAACCUCGGAACUGCCUUUGAUACAGCACGUCUCGAGUCCGGAAGAGGUGGGUGGAAUUCCUAGUGUAGAGGUGAAAUUCGUAGAUAUUAGGAAGAACACCGGUGGCGAAGGCGGCCCACUGGUCCGGUACUGACGCUGAGGUGCGAAAGCGUGGGGAGCAAACAGG
rnacentral:rRNA from 1 species